rnacentral:rRNA from 1 species
UACAGAGGUCCCAAGCGUUGUUCGGAAUCAUUGGGCGUAAAGCGCUUGUAGGCGGCUUGUUAAGUCGCGUGUGAAAUCCCUUGGCUCAACCAAGGAAGUGCGCGCGAAACUGGCGAGCUCGAGUGCCGGAGAGGGUCGCGGAAUUCCCGGUGUAGAGGUGAAAUUCGUAGAUAUCGGGAGGAACACCAGUGGCGAAGGCGGCGACCUGGACGGACACUGACGCUGAGACGCGAAAGCGUGGGGAGCAAACAGG